AAAAUAUAAAUUGAUAAUUUAAAUUUAAUAAAAGUAAUUUUAAUAUUAAAAUAGGGGGUUAAAGUAUUUUAAUAGAAAAAAUUAGAAAUUUUAUAGUGAAUUAGUAUAGUAAUAGAAUUUUGAAAUAAAUGAAAAUAAAUUUAUUUAAAAGUAAUUUUAAUUUAUCGUAUCUUGUGUAUCAGAGUUUAUUAAAUAAUUUUUAAAAUUUUAAAUAUCUCGAAUUUAAAAGAGCUAAUUAAUUAAUAAAUUUAAUGUUAAAUAAUUAUUUUAAAUAGUUAAUUAGAAAUGAAAUGUUAAUCGUUUUUAAAUAUAUCUAGUUAUUUUAGAAAAAAAUUUAAUUUUAAAUUUAUUUUUAUUUAUUUAAAUUAAAUAAAUAAUUUAAAUAAAAAUAAUUUUUAUAAUUUAAGGGACAAGCUUUAAAUUAAAAAUUUAUAAUAUUUUUUUUUAUUUAAAAUUUUUAAAAUUUAUAUUGUUUAAAAAUUAAAAUUUUUUAUAAAAAAUUUUAAAAUAAAUAAAAUUUAAAAUAAAUUUAAUUUUUUAUAAAAAUAUGAUUUUUAAUAUAUAUAUAUAUAUAAAUUAGAAAUAAUGAUAAAAUUAGUAUAAUUAAUUUAAUAAAAAUAUUAUAUAUUUUGAUUUAAGUAAAAAGAAUUCGGCAAAAUUUUAUAUUCACCUGUUUAACAAAAACAUGUCUUUUUGAUUUAAUUUAAAGUCCAAUCUGCCCACUGAUUUAAAAUUGAAGGGCUGCAGUAAUUUGACUGUACAAAGGUAGCAUAAUCAUUAGUCUUUUAAUUGAAGACUUGUAUGAAGGAUUAGAUGAAAUAUAAACUGUUUCUUAUUUAUAAUUAAAAUUUAAUUUUUUAGUUAAAAAGCUAAAAUAUUUUUAAAAGACGAGAAGACCCUAUAGAGUUUUAUAAUUUAUAAUUUAUAAUAUUUAUAUAAAAUUUUAAUAUUAAAUAUUAUAAAUUAUUUUGUUGGGGUGAUAAAAAAAUUAAAUUAACUUUUUUUAAAAAUUAUCAUAAGUAAAUGAAUUAAUGAUCCUGAAUAAAGAUUAUAAGAAAAAAUUACCUUAGGGAUAACAGCGUAAUAUUUUUUUUUAGUACAAAUAAAAAAAAAAAGUUUGCGACCUCGAUGUUGGAUUAAGAUAAAAUUUAAAUGUAAAAGUUUAAAGUUUUGAUCUGUUCGAUCAUUAAAAUCUUACAUGAUCUGAGUUCAAACCGGUGUAAGCCAGGUUGGUUUCUAUCUUUAAAUAAAUCAAAUAUUUUA
rnacentral:rRNA from 1 species